rnacentral:rRNA from 1 species
AUGAACGCUGGCGGCGUGGAUAAGGCAUGUAAGUCGAACGGUGUAAGCCCGCAAGGGUUUACAUAGUGGCGAACGAGUUAGUAACACCUUGGUACAUCCCCGGAAGUCGGGCACAACGGGUCGAAAGAUCCGCUAAUUCCCGAUAGUGAAGCAAUUCUAAAGUCGCAAGACGCUUCCGGAGUGACCUAGGUCCUAUCAGCUUGUUGGUGAGGUAACGGCUCACCAAGGCUACGACGGGUAGGGGGUGUGAGAGCAUGACCCUCAACGAUGGAACUGAGACACGGUCCAUACACCUACGGGUGGCAGCAGUCGAGAAUAUUCGACAAUGGGCGAAAGCCUGAUCGAGCGACGCCGCGUGCAGGAAGAAGCUCUUCGGAGCGUAAACUGCUUUUGCCAUGGAAAAAUUUUGAUUGUACAUGGAGAAUAAGGGGUUGCUAACCUCGU